rnacentral:lncRNA from 1 species
CCAGGCACAGCGAUGGACCCAGGAUGUGAGAUGAUUCCAAUGUACAGCCAAUGAUGAGCAGCUGCUGGGCUGAAGGGACUGGGGCCAUUUUAUACCAGGAUGUUACACAGAAAUGCCUGAAAAGCAAGGAGCAGCUAUCAGAAUGUUUGGUGACACAGCUCCUCCUGUCGUGGUUCCUUCGGCAUGGACUUCACAUUCAGCAGAUCCAUGAGGUGUUCCCUUUCGGAUGAGCUCCAAGGUCUUAAGAGAGCAUCUCUAGUCUGCGUGAGUCCGUCUGAACGACGGUCCUGAGCAAGAACCACCUAUAACCAUCUGCUCAAAAUAACUCAGGGGAAGUCAAAGCUUUCUAUGUGGAAGGUGACUGAAACCACAUACACAGACCACUGCAGCAUUCCUGACAUUAUGGAACUUGGAAAUGAUUCCAAACAUGGCCAUAGCUUGAGUAACAUGUUUUGCUAUGACAAGAACUUGGACUGUAGUCCUUCCCCCUCUCAAGAAUGUGACAUCACACCUUAUCAGAUCCUACGAGUGAGCUACUGACCUCAACCACUGAACUUCAAACUAUGUAAAAACCUAAGGGUUCGACAGACACUUUGAGAGCUUGGGCUGUGGCAAGCUACACUCUGUCAGCCUCUCUUCGACAGGGCCCCACCCUGCUAGCCUUUGAACUUGGAAGCAUCGCCCACAAACACCAGUGCCACCCUCUAGCCUUGAGGGACCAUAUAUGUCUCUGUGAAUCUCCGUUGCAUUGGACAGCUUCUCUCCCAAGAGCUGCUCUUAUAAAAGAGACACACCACAUUUUAAUGAGGCUUCGCUCUCCACAGAGGCCUGCUUCCAUCCUAAUUGAGCAAGUAGACUUUAGUAACUUUGGAACUCACUCACCCCGUGACUAAUACACCCUGUCUACCCAGCGCAUUCCCUGUGAGAUUUGUUCAUGUUGUUCUCCCCCUCCUUAAGCAUUGUGAACCUAGGAAAAAUAUCAUCUCUGUAG